rnacentral:ncRNA from 1 species
ACGUGUAACUGGCGGAAAAAAGUGGGAAAACCACAGGGAGCACGUUUCAUAUGUAGCCGACCGCCUGGGCGUCUC